UCCUCUCUCUCCUUCCUGUGAGGAGGGACCAAUGCAAACGCCCCCGUCCUCCACCUCUACUUAUCUGUCUGCAGAGAGGAUGGGAGUGGACACACUUCACCAUGAUGGACCAAAGGACAGGGCUGCUGCUGCUAACGCUCUGCUGGGCAGGCGUUGAUGCUCAGACUCUCACACGAUCUCAGCCCGUGUUUAGAAACCCUGGAGAAUCCCACACGCUGACCUGUACAGUGACAGGCUUUUCUGUCAGCAGCUGGUGGAUGCACUGGGUCCGACAGGCUCCUGGUAAAGGCCUGGAGUGGAUCGCUGCCCACGCUAGCGGUGGCAGCAAAUACUACUGUCACUCAGUGCAAGGCCGGUUCACCGUCUCCAGAGACGAGAGCAAACAGCAGCUGUAUCUGCAGAUCAACAGUCUGAAGACGGAAGAUUCUGCUGUUUAUUAUUGUGCUCGAGACCCACAGUGA